GUGCUCAAUUCAGCAACGCAUACACUAAAAUUGAAACAAUACAGAGAUCAGCAUGGGCCCCGUCCAGGGACGACAUGAAAAUCUAUUAAGUCUUCCAUGCUUUU